rnacentral:rRNA from 1 species
GACGAACGCUGGCGGCGUGCUUAACACAUGCAAGUCGAACGGAAAGGCCCUGCUUUUGUGGGGUGCUCGAGUGGCGAACGGGUGAGUAACACGUGAGUAACCUGCCCUUGACUUUGGGAUAACUUCAGGAAACUGUGGCUAAUACCGGAUAGGAGCUCCUGCUGCAUGGUGGGGGUUGGAAAGUUUCGGCGGUUGGGGAUGGACUCGCGGCUUAUCAGCUUGUUGGUGGGGUAGUGGCUUACCAAGGCUUUGACGGGUAGCCGGCCUGAGAGGGUGACAGGCCACAUUGGGACUGAGAUACGGCACAGACUCCUACGGGAGGCAGCAGUGGGGAAUAUUGCACAAUGGGCGGAAGCCUGAUGCAGCAACGCCGCGUGCGGGAUGACGGCCUUCGGGUUGUAAACCGCUUUCGCCUGUGACGAAGCGUGAGUGACGGUAAUGGGUAAAGAAGCACCGGCUAACUACGUG